rnacentral:rRNA from 1 species
UACGGAGGGAGCUAGCGUUGUUCGGAAUUACUGGGCGUAAAGCGCACGUAGGCGGCUACACAAGUCAGAGGUGAAAGCCCGGGGCUCAACUCCGGAACUGCCUUUGAAACUGGGUGGCUAGAAUCUUGGAGAGGCGAGUGGAAUUCCGAGUGUAGAGGUGAAAUUCGUAGAUAUUCGGAAGAACACCAGUGGCGAAGGCGACUCGCUGGACAAGUAUUGACGCUGAGGUGCGAAAGCGUGGGGAGCAAACAGG